rnacentral:rRNA from 1 species
GACUGCUAAUACUUUAUACUCCUUUUUAAUUAAUUUAAAAAGGGAAAUGCUUUUGUGCCAAGGGAUGGAACUAUAUCCUAUCAGCUUGUUGGUAAGGUAAUGGCUUACCAAGGCUAUGACGGGUAGCUGGUUUGAGAGGAUGAUCAGCCACACUGGAACUGAGACACGGUCCAGACUCCUACGGGAGGCAGCAGUGGGGAAUAUUGGGCAAUGGGCGAAAGCCUGACCCAGCAAUACCGCGUGGAGGAUGACGGUUUUCGGAUUGUAAACUCCUUUUAACUGAGAAGAUAAUGACGGUAUCAGUUGAAUAAGCACCGGCUAACUCCGUGCCAGCAGCCGCGGUAAUACGGAGGGUGCAAGCAUUACUCGGAAUCACUGGGCGUAAAGAGCGUGUAGGCGGUCUAUUAAGUCUUGUGUGAAAUCUUACGGCUUAACCGUAAAACUGCACAGGAAACUGAUAGACUAGAGUAUGGGAGAGGUAGAUGGAAUUCUCGGUGUAGGGGUAAAAUCCGUANAUA